rnacentral:rRNA from 1 species
AUUGAACGCUGGCGGCAUGCCUUACACAUGCAAGUCGAACGGCAGCACGGGUGCUUGCACCUGGUGGCGAUUGGCGAACGGGUGAGUAAUACAUCGGAACAUGUCCUGUAGUGGGGGAUAGCCCGUCGAAAGCCGGAUUAAUACCGCAUACGAUCUACGGAUGAAAGCGGGGGACCUUCGGGCCUCGCGCUAUAGGGUUGGCCGAUGGCUGAUUAGCUAGUUGGUGGGGUAAAGGCCUACCAAGGCGACGAUCAGUAGCUGGUCUGAGAGGACGACCAGCCACACUGGGACUGAGACACGGCCCAGACUCCUACGGGAGGCAGCAGUGGGGAAUUUUGGACAAUGGGCGAAAGCCUGAUCCAGCAAUGCCGCGUGUGUGAAGAAGGCCUUCGGGUUGUAAAGCACUUUUGUCCGGAAAGAAAUCCUUGGCCCUAAUACGGUCGGGGGAUGACGGUACCGGAAGAAUAAGCACCGGCUAACUACGUG